CGAUGGGCACUUAAAUCCUU
rnacentral:miRNA from 1 species